rnacentral:rRNA from 1 species
AGAGUUUGAUUAUGGCUCAGGAUGAACGCUGGCGGCGUGCUUAACACAUGCAAGUCGAACGAGCACUUCGGUGCGAGUGGCGGACGGGUGAGUAACGCGUGGGUAACCUGCCCUGUACAGGGGGAAUAACAGAGAGAAAAUCUCUGCUAAUGCCGCAUAAGCGCACGGCACUGCAUGGUGCUGUGUGAAAAGCUCCGGCGGUACAGGAUGGACCCGCGUCUGAUUAGCUGGUUGGCGGGGUAACGGCCCACCAAGGCGACGAUCAGUAGCCGGCCUGAGAGGGUGAACGGCCACAGUUGGGACUGAGAUACGGCCCAGACUCCGUACGGGAGGCAGCAGGUGGGGAAUAUUGCACAAUGGGGGAAACCCUGAUGCAGCAAACCGCCGCGUGAGUGAAGAAGUAUUUCGGUAUGUAAAGCUCUAUCAGCAGGGAAGAAGAUGACGGUACCUGCACAAGAAGCCCCGGCUAACUACGUGCCAGCAGCUGC